AACAGGAUUAGAUACCCUGGUAGUCCACGCCGUAAACGAUGUCGACUAGCCGUUGGGCUCCUUGAGAGCUUUGUGGCGCAGUUAACGCGAUAAGUCGACCGCCUGGGGAGUACGGCCGCAAGGUUAAAACUCAAAUGAAUUGACGGGGGCCCGCACAAGCGGUGGAGCAUGUGGUUUAAUUCGAUGCAACGCGAAGAACCUUACCUACCCUUGACAUCGUGCGAACUUUCCAGAGAUGGAUUGGUGCCUUCGGGAGCGCACAGACAGGUGCUGCAUGGCUGUCGUCAGCUCGUGUUGUGAAAUGUUGGGUUAAGUCCCGUAACGAGCGCAACCCUUGUCCUUAUUUGCCAACGAGUCAUGUCGGGAACUCUAAGGAGACUGCCGGUGACAAACCGGAGGAAGGUGGGGACGACGUCAAGUCAUCAUGGCCCUUACGGGUAGGGCUACACACGUGCUACAAUGGCCGGUACAAAGGGUUGCGAAGCCGCGAGGUGGAGCUAAUCCCGAAAAGCUGGUCUCAGUCCGGAUCGGAGUCUGCAACUCGACUCCGUGAAGUCGGAAUCGCUAGUAAUCGUGAAUCAGAAUGUCACGGUGAAUACGUUCCCGGGCCUUGUACACACCGCCCGUCACACCAUGGGAGUGGACUGCACCAGAAGUGGUUAGCCUAACUUCGGAGGGCGAUCACCACGGUGUGGUUCAUGACUGGGGUGAAGUCGUAACAAGGUAACC
rnacentral:rRNA from 1 species